UUAGCAUUAGCUUAGGUAGCAUCAUAACAGCUCUUCUCACCACGGAACGUGUUGGGUUCCAGCUGACUGAAGCACCGACACAAGUUUAGAUGAUAAUGACUUAAAUCUGAGGGAGUGAAGUCGAGCGACUGGUGCUGGAGUGACAGAAAGCCGAAAUCGAAUGUGUUCUGUGGUGUGUAUAGCUGUUAGCUGUAGCUGAAACACUGUUUUGCUUAGUUUUUCUGCAAAGAAAACAGUUUUGCGAAUAUUAUUAAUUCCAAUGGGUAGCAUUAAUUUGAUGUAGGGUCUUGGGGCAAGAACACUGUUCUGGGAGCAUUAUUAUUUCCAGUGGUUAGUGUUAGUGGUGUAGGGUAAUAUAGCUGCUCUUGGGGCAGGAAAACUGUUCUGUGAGCAUUAUUAUUCCCAGUGGUCAGUAUUAGUGUGGUGUAAUGUAAUGCUGCUCUUGGGGCAGGACAGCUUAUUAUAUUUUAAUAUUUGAUGCUUUUCUAAGAUUGUUACCAAUGUUAUUUUCAAUGUUAUUUUCAAUGUUAUAUUUUCACACAUAUGUGUGUGUGUGUGUGCGUGUGUGUGUGUGUGUGUGUGUGUGUAUAUAUAUAUAGGAGGCAAGGGAGGCAGUGUCUCCUCAAAAAAUUGGAUGAGAAAAUAAUCGAUAUUGCAAAAAAAAAAAAAAACGACGCAAAUAUUACUAAAAAUAACAUUAAAAGUAUAAAAGUCACUCGUUUUUAUAAAGUAACACUGUCCAACAGCGACACCCGCAGGUAAAGUUACAGCGGAGGCUUGCCUCCCCUCAGCCCAUUGACUUAUAACAGAGACCCCAUAACGUGUCGUGGGUUUAGUGGGGGGUAAUUGAGAAUGAAUGGGGGAAGUCACGUGAGAGGAGGCCAUCGCGCUAUAAUUGGAUAUGAUCGGUUAUGAUUGGAUGUGAUAGGUUCGUUCGAUAAAUCCUGCCUCUUGUUUUCGUGCGAGCUCUCGGCCUGAAUGGACAAAAUGAUGGCGUUACUGACUAAUUAUAAAGUAAGUAAACAACUCACCCGCUUAGAUAUCACUGCUUUGUGUCACGUCAAAAAUGAAAACUUGAAAUGGCCUGAAAACGUGAUGACUUAGUUUUUAGUGAGCAUUCAGCUUGAUGAAAUGAAAGAUAUAUCUUCGUGACUGUGUUUGUGUUUACAGAGCUUUUAUGACGAUGACCCGAAAAUAAGUUGACUAUUAAAAAAACAGCUGAACAUCAGUUCACAAAUAAAAAAAUAUUAGUAACACUUUACAAUAAGGUGUCAUUUGUUAACAUUAGUUAAUGUGUUAACUAACAUGAACAAACAACGAACAUUUAUUACAGUACUUAUUAAUCUUUGUUAACGUUAGUUAAUAAAAAUACAGCUGUUCAUUGUUAGUUCAUGUUAGUUCACAGUGCAUUAACUAAUGUUAACAAACACGUUUGAUUUUAAUAAUGCAUUAGUAAAUGCUGAAAAUAAUAUUAAAUAAGAUUAAUAAAUGCUGUAGAAGUAUUGUUCAUUCUUAGUUCAUGUUAACGAAAGUAGAUAACUAAUGUUAACUAAUGAAACCUUAUUGUAAAGUGUUCGUUACCCAUGCAGUCUUACAAACUAUGAAGUCUGGAGGACUGCAAAGAAGGCAUACCAAAAUUGGAAGCAUUGGACCCUAUCCACCGUACAGGGAAAGUUUUGAAUCCCUUGUAGAAAGCAACAAAAUAUCUGAUGUGGUAAGUUCUUUGGAUAAAAUUGUCAGAGAAAUACAAAUGUAAGGCAUCCGGAACUCCAGCCUACAUUUUCAGUGUUCUUCCCUCUUUUCACAGUUCACCAUUGCUCCUCAAAAAACACGCUUUUCGAAAGCCUGACCUGACCUCACAACAUUCUUAUCUGCCCAUAUAAGUUUACUCGCAUGCCACUCUCACUUUUAGUAUGGGUAUUUCAAUGCUUUUUCCAGACUGUUUUUUUCUUUGUUCUUUGGAUGAUGCCUCCUCAGAUCAUGGAUGCCUUGCUCCAUGAUGUAUGAGGUGACCAGAUAUUGUGGCAAUUAAUACCCAUACCCUGACUCAUAUUGUAGGAGGGUGAGCAAGGGCAAGGAGCCAUUAUUUUAUCAAGAGGAACAUCUUUGAAAAUAAAAGGGAGAUUGUUGGUCCCUAUUUGGAGAGCGGGAAUCAUUGGACUUUUUUUCACUGCAGUAUUGUGAGUAUAAUGUACCUAAAAUAUAAACGUACCUUGAGGAACAGGACGAGCAGUAUUAUAAAAUAGUAGAAAACUGGAGCACAUUUGUUGCAUCAAAAAGCUAUCAUGGACCAUGGAACAGGACAAAGAGGAUCCAUACCCUUCAGUAUGACAAUAUUUCCUGUGGUGUUUUCACAGGAGUGGUAAAAUACUACUUCUUCUUCUUCUUCUUCUUCUUCUUGUUGUUGUUGUUGUUGUUGUUGUUAUUAUUAUUAUUAUUCAGCAGAAAAGACAAAUCAUUGUCAUUUUUGAGGGUCAUGACACUGUUGUGCAAUUUCUAAUGAUAUUGUAGAUUCCAUAUGGUCAGUUGUUUUUAUGGAUUUAAGAUAGUAUGGUCUUUUCAAUCUACCACAAAAUUCUGGUUGAUUAUGGAAGUGAAGGCACUCAAUACACUUUUGUAAGUGAGGCUAAACUAAAGUAAUUUUGCUGAUGUGACAUUGAAUUGAUCAUUGAAUUCAAAGGAAUUCAAACUAAAGGUUUUUGGAACUUUAGUUUGCUGAGAUCUUCCUAGAAGGCAGAUAUGUCUCUCAAAAGAUGGUGUCUAGGAAGAACAAGGCAAGUGAUGCAAAUGAGAUUUAAAAAAUUUAAAUCUACAAUUAAAGAGGCAUUCUACAAUUAAACAGAAGAUUCUCCAAUUCCAGUCCUGUAAACUCUGCCAGUUUUGUGCUUUUUUUUUUUCUUUUUUUUUUUGCCUUUCAAGACUGGAAUUGAAUAACUUUAACUUAACCAUUUCUCCUGCAAUCUAGGAAAAAUGCUCAACUUGUUUAGCAAAUAUCCAUACAAAAUAACCAUCUGGGAAUCAAAGAGGGUAAAUUUUUAUUUAUUUUUUGCCAAAGGUAGUGAAUUUUGGAAUGAAUGGCCCUUGUGCAACAUUGCAAUAUAAUUAUUCUAACUUUCUUAUAUUUUUCUUUGGAAAGUGAGCUUGUAUGAGAACGUCUAAUUCGGCACACAUUCAUAACAUCCAAAAACUGUAAAUGAUCUGCAUAAACAUGAAUGGUGUAUGUUCCUAAAUGAGUGAGCAUUAAUGAUGAUUUUGAAUUAUAACUGCAGCUCCAAAAAUGACAUAAUGAUAGUGUUCCAUAAAUGGUUCCACAUGCCAUUCAUGACCUUCACAUGACCUUUUUUUUCUUUUCUUUUCUUUUUUUUUAAAAUCACAAUAGCAUUCAGGCCUAGAACUGAGUUGUGCAUGAUCACACUGGAUGUUGACAUAUGUACAGUUAAACCUUCCAAUAUUGCAUAAUUUAAUGUCAUUUUAUACUUUGAGAGACUGAUACUUUUAUAGAAUGGCACUAACAGACAGUCUGUUAAUAUUAUUUCUAAAUAAAUGAAUUCUGGGAGAAGACAGCUCAGGAGAAAGUAAACAAGAUAACAAAGGAAUUGAGGGAGAAGACAGUUCAAGAGAAAGUAACCGAAACAACACAGGAAUUGAGGGAGAAGACAGAUCAGGAGAAAGUAACCGAAACAACACAGGAAUUGAGGGAGAAGAUAGCUCAGGAGAAAGUGACUGAGACAACACAGGAAACAACAGCGUAAGACAAAGUACUAAAGAAUAUGCAGGAGUUCAAGGAAAAAACAGCUUAGGACACAGCCAGGAAGAUCAGACUGGAAAAUGUUUAAAUAAGAUCUUAGAACAAAUACACUAACUUGUCUAAAAGUUUGCAGACACCUUAUUAUCCUACAUGUAAAUUUCAUUUUGAAAUCAAGAGUCUUAACAGUGAGUUAAUCUGCCCUUUGCAGGUGCUAUAUAACAACUUUCACCUCUGGAAAGUAUUUGCAAAAGAUGUUAGCACAUUUCUGUAGGAAUUUGCUUCUAUUCCGCUAUAAGAGCAGUAGUGAGUUCAACCACUGAUAUUAGGUGAUCUAGUCUAGCAUGCAAUUGGUCAUCCAAUUUCCUUAUCUUAACCAUGUUCUUUUUGUGUAAAGCAGUCUUUAUAUUUGGUGUUGACUGAUGUUGUGUACUGUAUGUCUCUGUGCUUUUUCUUUAUAUAGACAUAUAGACACUUACAGUGUCUUACUUCAGUAAUUGGAACAUUGUAAAAAUGGUCAUUCUACUGAUCAGAGCUUUAAGUGCUUUAAAUAAAUUCUAGCUGAUAUUUUUAGUAUCAGAAAUGAAAUUUGACAAAAUAUAUAUAUUUCAUUUGUUUGCCUAGUAAAGCCAGUUGUCACUGAAACACACUGUAUUGAAUCAGGACGAAGACAAUUCAUGAAACUAUAGAUGAGGAGGCUAAGGAGAGCACAAUGCAUUGAACAGUCUUGAUCAAUAGACAUAGUAAUUAAUUUUCAUCUAAAUUAAUGCAUACUAUGCUUUUCCGAUUGGUACUUUUACUAUUUUAGUUCCACCCUUGCAGGGGGAUUCCUGGUGGAAAUCCCCACCAAGCAAAGAGAUACCUGGUCACUUCAGAUGAACCACGGAGGAGAUGGACUCUACUGGAGAGCUACCCUGCAAACGCUGUAGUGGCUUAUCUACAGAAGGCCAAGGGACAAAAAAGACAAAUUGUAGAGAAGUUGGAAGAGUUGGAAGUGAAGCCCUCAAAGUGAACAAAGUUAACUUCACAGUGGUCCAAAAUUUGUGAAGGUAAUAAUGGAAUAGGAGUAGGAGUAGUAGAAACUAUAAAAGGAAUAAUGACACCAGUGUCCUUGUUUUGUGGUUUUGUAUCAUAAAAUUGUCAUAAUACACCAUAUAUUUGCAUUAUUUUCAAAUACUUUUUUUUGUUUGUUUGUUUAAGUACACUGUUCACCAGUACAAGAAAAAUAAAGAGAUGACAAAGAAUUUCAUGGUUUAUUUUGAUCUGC